rnacentral:pre_miRNA from 1 species
AGCCAGAUAACUGGGUCAGGUUUUCCAUUCCAAGUUUUCUGAGGAAUUUCCAUAUUGCUUUCCAGAGUGGUUGCACCAAUUUGCAGUCCUACCAGUAAU